CCUACGGGAGGCUGCAGUGGGGAAUAUUGGACAAUGGGGGGAACCCUGAUCCAGCCAUGCCGCGUGUGUGAAGAAGGCCCUCGGGUUGUAAAGCACUUUCAGUGAGGAAGAACGCCUGGUGGUUAAUACCCAUCAGGAAAGACAUCACUCACAGAAGAAGCACCGGCUAACUCCGUGCCAGCAGCCGCGGUAAUACGGAGGGUGCGAGCGUUAAUCGGAAUUACUGGGCGUAAAGCGCGCGUAGGUGGCUUGAUAAGCCGGUUGUGAAAGCCCCGGGCUCAACCUGGGAACGGCAUCCGGAACUGUCAAGCUAGAGUGCAGGAGAGGAAGGUAGAAUUCCCGGUGUAGUGGUGAAAUGCGUAGAGAUCGGGAGGAAUACCAGUGGCGAAGGCGGCCUUCUGGACUGACACUGACACUGAGGUGCGAAAGCGUGGGUAGCAAACAGGAUUAGAUACCCUUGUAGUC
rnacentral:rRNA from 1 species